CAAGUCAACGGCGGAGGUAGAAUUAUGUGCAGUUUUGUGUACGGUAAUAUGUAUUUAGAAUAUAUUGAAAAAUAUUUCGCAAAAAAAUUAUUUGGUUAGCUAUCAGAUCCAACAAAUAGAAUAUGUAAAUUGUUGUGACUAUGAACUUUCAGGCAACAGCCUGGAAUGUAAGCUGCCAUGUUUCACAGAUUUCAUUGAAUGGGGUAAACAAAUGGUUUUGUUUGUUCAAGGACAGAGCUGGAUAUUUACUAAAGCAAUUAAGGAUGGGUGCCUUGCUUGAGUGUACAACAGCUGUGCCCUGGCUUGGGUCUGAACCUGCAACCUCUGGAUUAUGAAAGUCAGUGUGGCAUGCGGCUGAGUAAGCGUGGAGGACGAGCUGUCAACAACGCAAUCCAGUGUUUUAACCUCACGAGUGAAAGGUUGUCUGUGAGCUCCGUAAACACAUCUUAGCCUGAUUCCGAAGCGCGUCAGGAACUCAGACUGCUCAUCCGCCAGCACGCCAGAGAAUCACGCCAGGAUAACGCAGGGGUUGCGGGCAAAAAGGCAAGCUCAUCGCUCCCUUGUCUAAGAAGGUCCGCAUCAGCGGUUCUGCGGAAUGGGCGAGGCGCACCCCGCCCGUCUGUGUCCUGUUGCCGCGGUCUCGCGACGGCACAGUGCCAGAACGGAGACGUCCAAGCCGAGACGGGUCACAGCAGCUGCUGUUACAGAGCCUUUCGUUCCAAAACACAGACAGUCCCAGUGCUGAUUGGUCAGAGGAGUACAGCGCUCCUGACUGAAGGUUCUGAAUAGGCCUGAGGUCCUGACCCUGGUUCCAAUGAGAGAGCUGGGACCAGCAGGGCUUUGCUGGGGAGAAGCCCAGAAGGAAGCAGCAGCUUAUGACCCUUCACCAGAGUCCAUCAGCGUCAACACGUGGCUGACAAAUGCCAUCCAGGCACGUGACCAACGUUCAUCCAAUCACGUGACCAGAUGUCUCUCUCAGGACAUAGGCCCCACCUCAGCAGCUGAAGAGUUGCACCCACAGUAGCCUUCAGCAAGCUGCCAGACAGACGUAGUUCAAUCACCUUCAAUCAUAAAACUUGAGAGCGUUAGAUAACGAGUGUGUUUGAAUGAACACACAUUAUCUUUUUCUUCUGUUAUUUGUAAAUGACUUGGGAAUGAAUGUUGUAUGUCACAAAAUUUGUUGUCUUUAAGUACUCUUCUAAUUAAAAUGAACUUGGCUGCUA